rnacentral:lncRNA from 1 species
UCUCUUAGUCUCAGUGUUAUUCACCAAAUGCUACUUUUCCCUAUGUGUUCCCAGAAAAAAUAUAUUAAUAUAUAAUAUUUGGUGGAAAUGUAUGUGUAUAUAUGUGCACAUAUGUACAUGUGUAAAUGUAUAUAUGUAUGUGUCUAUGCGUGCAUGUGUGUGUGUAAAUUUCCUCAUGUCAGGGCUGUGCCUUCAUCAGCUGAGACCAGAAACACCUCUGGGAAAGGGGUUCACGCAUGGGAGAAUAUCAGAGUUUAGCAUAUCCUCAGAAUGACCCUGUAUGGCAGAUGCACCAGAAUGUGUGUUCUCCCACCAGGCCCGGAGUCUUGCUAUUUGCUGCUAAAUUAAUAUAUUACCUAAUGCAGAAACCACGUUAAGAACUCCAGCUUUCGGCUCCAACAGGAGCUUCUGAUGGGUUAAAGGCAACAUCUUGCUUUAAUUCCCCCCUUUUUCCCAUCCUCCCCCCACUCCCCACCACCACCAACUACAAAUGUCAGAAAUAAAUUAUUGAAACCAGAUGUAAGGUUUUUGGGUGCACAUUUUCA